AAAAUGACCAGAAACUGACCCAAAUCUGCCCAAAGAAUGACCAGAAACUUACCAAAAAUAACCCCAGAAAAUGACCCAAAACUGACCCAAAUCUCCCCAAAAAAUGACCCAAUCAGCCAAAUCUCCCCAAAAAAUGACCAGAAACUGACCCAAAUCUCCCCCAAAAAUGGGCAGAAAUUCACACAAAUCUCCCCAAAAAAUAACCAGAAACUGACACAAAUCUCCCAAAAAAAUGACCAGAAACUGACCCAAAAUUCUCCCCAAAAAUGACCCAGAACUCACCCAAA